CCCGGACCGGGGCACGGACCCGCGUACCCUGAAUCGGCAGGCGGACUCUCAACCACUGCGCCACCAGGGAAGCCCCUGUGAAAUUCUCGAGGGCAGGGAUCCUAUCUUUAUCUCUUCCAUCCUCCUCAGUUCCUAGGACAAGGUUAAAGUCCCAGGCUGGCAACCCGGAGCCCUCCAUCUCAGAGCACCUGGACCAGCGGGUCCCCCGGAUGGUGCUGAGGGCAUGCAUCCCAGGCAGAGGGACUGCUCCGAGCCGUCUGGGUUGCUUCUCAGCCUCGAGUUCCCGCUCGGACAAAGGAUGUACUCAACCAUAACGCCCAUGGGACCAAAGGCAAGGCGGCAGGUGGAAGCAGAGCUGCAAAGAUAGAAGUCGUUGGAGGAGCACGGAAAGACCUCACAUAAAAGCGAUGGAGCUGGCUGACAAGUCUGAGGACUACUGACGCUUUUGAAGGAAGAAACAGCAAUUUCAGAAAAUGAAUCCUGUGGUUUAGAAAGAAAUCAUCUGAACUUAAAGAAAGAAAGAAAAGAAGAGAAAAAAAUUGUUCUCAUUACAAAGAAAACAAUUUCCUUAGGCCUAGAGAAUUAUAGUCUAUUUAUGAAGGCUUCAACCCUCUGAGAUAUCUAGAUUUUGAGUGUCAAAAGGAACCUUUAAAGAUAGCUUUUUCAUCUGAGUCCUGAAUUUUACAGAAAGGAAACUGAGGCUCUGAGACAGUUUGGGACCAUAUAACUAGUUAGUGGAAGCUGACUCCCAGUUUUCCUGCCUUUAUCUUUUUCCUUUUUACUUUUGCUCUUUAAAUGACAAGGUAUUCAUAGGCCACUGGGAAGAAAAAAAAACAAGACAGCUUGUGCUUCUGCAAGAAAGGUCAGUGAGAGCUCCGAAACUUCUAGAAAGAAGAGAGUCAAAUUAAUCUAAUUCCAGGAAUAGUCUUGAUCUUAUUAGCUGAGGGACUGAAUAAGGAGGCAAAGGCCUUACAAAGCAAGAUUUAUUACUACUUUCCGUAAAAGCCCAGGGAAAAUGAAUAUUGGCUUAAUGGGGAUUUGGGUCUAUAAUUUGAUUCUUUGCCUCAGCUUAGAGAAACAACCCACAGACAAAAGGUCAGUGGAUCCUAGUAGUGAUCUCCUGAGCCAGUGAGGAAAGGGAUCACCUGCCAUUUCUCCAGGGACCCCUAGGAUCAGGAAUCACCUCUGUGGUAUGGAAACCUAGAAAGGAAGAAAUCCAGCAGACUCUUACUGGCCUGGAAAGUGUGUUAAAAGUGCCAGUACGGGCGUCCCUGGUGGCGCAGUGGUUGAGAGUCCACCUGCCGAUGCAGGGGACACAGG